rnacentral:lncRNA from 1 species
CUUCUCCUGCGGAGGGGGUAGGGAACAGAGUGGGGCUUCAUUUUCUCACAAAAGGCACAAUGUGAGGCACAUCUGUGAACACGGCCCAGCAAAGAAACCGGUCUCCAGAAACUGAAAGGGGAGUAAAUUUUUCUUUAAAAAUUAGAUACAGAUUAUCGCUUCAAAAUGCAGGAGGGAAUUUUACAAGUGAUGGUGUGCCGAUUAGCUUUGCAAUGAACAUCCAGCCCUUUAUAGAAACGCAUACUAGCGGUGGUCAGCUGUGACAAAUGUGGUUUAUUACUCCCCAAACUGAACUACCCAUCUAAUGUAAAUGAGGAAUGUUGGGUGAACUUGAACUGCUUGGACAUGAAUGACCAGAGAAUUUAUUUGAUGAGACAUUAAAGGCUAACUAUGGGAACUGUCCCUUUGAUGGUCUGGUAUAAUCAGUUCUUUAGUUCAUUAGCAUGUCUUUCAUAAUUUCUGUUAUUAUUCUUUUCUGGUUAUCGAAUGGCAACCUCAACGAAAAGACCAAAAAAAAGUUUAUCUACAAUAGUUCAAAAAUAAUAGCAACCUUACCUUUAUUGGUAAGUAUUCAUAUUUUUAUAUAAUGAAAGAGACAUUGUUUUCAAGUACAAGAAGGAGUUGGCUUAUAAAAACAUGGAUGCAUUCAUUGUUGAAUGUGUCACUCCCUGGAUGAUUUUUAAAAUGUCUUCUGGUUUUUUCAAUAAGAAAAACAGGCUUUCUGAAACGGACUGAUCAUUUGC